CUGGGCUACACCCGGGAAGGCAGGAUGGAGCCUCUAAGAGUCACCCAAACGUUUCAGCCCCAGGCCUGCUGGCCCUGGCUGGUGGGCCUUCCCGCCUCACAGCUGCCCUCCCCCGAAGACACCGCAAAGGUGUGAAAAAGUCCAGCAUGAACUCAGACAGGACACAGACCAGGACCAGAGCCUCAUGUAGACAGAGCUGCUGCAGAAGGAGCAAUGAGCAUGCCUGCACCCUUGAGAGACCUGAGGAGGAUGAAGGAAAAUACGGACAACUUGAAUCCAUGACAGUCUUCAGUCUAGGAUCAAGGCCUCCUCACAAAAGCCAUCUCCUUGUAGCUGAGAACUCAACAGACUGUCUGGAAUCAGUUGCGGCAUCACAGUCCUGUAACACCAGAACUCCCAGGCAGAGAUGGAUGUCUGCAAGUGCCAAGUGGCUUGGUCUACACAGUGUGAAAAAGUCCAGCAUGAACUCAGACAGGCCACAGACCAGGACCAGAGCCUCCUGUAGAUCAAGCUGCUGCAGAAGGAGCAAUGAGCAUGCCUGCACCCUUGAGAGACCUGAGGAGGAUGAAGGAAAAUACGGACAACUUGAAUCCAUGACAGUCUUCAGUCUAGGAUCAAGGCCUCCUCACAAAAGCCAUCUCCUUGUAGAUGAGAACUCAACGGGCAGCCACUUGACCGUCAACAACAACAACAACAACAACAACAACAAUAAUAAAGACUGUGGAUGUUGCUGCUGAUCUUGUGCACUGUGGAUUCAGAUGCUGAGUUCUGUACCCCAAGAUCAAGUUGCAGUCUGGACAUGGGUGUGCUGUCCCAGUCCUGUAACCUCAUAAUGCACAAGCAAGUUCCAGGCACUUUGGCCUACACCGUGAGUUCUCAGCCAGGGAUGUCAGUGCUCUGCAGCCGGGGAUGUCAGUGCUCCGCAGCCGGGGAUGUCAGUGCUCCGCAGCCGGGGAUGUCAGUGCUCCGCAGCCGGGGAUGUCAGUGCUCCGCAGCCGGGGAUGUCAGUGCUCCGCAGCCGGGGAUGUCAGUGCUCUGCAGCCGGGGAUGUCAGUGCUCCGCAGCCAAGGAUGUCAGUGCUCCGCAGCCGGGGAUGUCAGUGCUCCGCAGCCAGGGAUGUCAGUGUGCCACAGGGGAUGGGGUCCUGGAAGUACAUAGCACCACCGGCUCUGUGGAUGCCCACUUCAUGGUGGGAACACUUUCUAUAUUGCAUCCUUGAGGUCAUAUGUUUAGCUGCCACUAUAAUACAGUCCUGUUUGCAGAUGCCUGUGAAUGAUCAUGCAGACCAAAUUAAUGAGAAACACAACCUUACUGCCGUAACAAUUUAGGAAAUGAAACCAUUCAAAAUAAAUCACAAAACCCAGAGCCUUCUGCCUCCAGUUUUCUAGAAAAUAGCACCAGUGAUAACCACACUGCACAGAUAAUGACCUCCAAGACAGGCUGGGUCAUAUUUUUGUUGUGGUGGUCGUGGUGGUGGUAGUUGUGGUUUUUGAUGUUGUUGGCCUUGACUAUGCAUUUGGUGCCAUCAACCCUUUUUUUUCAUCCAAGUUUUAUUUUUUUCAUUUCUAUGUACAGGUAUUUUGUCUACUGGAUACAUGUGCACCACGUGCAUGCAGUUCCAUCAGGGACCAGAAGAGGGCAACAGAUUCCAUGUGGACUGAGUUACAGAGGACUGUUAGCUGCUCCUUGGGUCCUCUGGGAGAAAAACAAAUCUUCUGAAGGGAUGAGCCAUCUCUCCAGUCCCUACACUUGACUUUGUCCUUAUAGCUGUGUGUGCCCAUUAGUUAGACUGAAUCCCCCACAAGAGAGAGAAGUGUUUGGAGACCUAGAAGGACGAGUGCAUGAGGUAAGCAUACUGGUUGUCUUAGGCUGCCAAGUACCCAUAUAGGGCAUUUGUGUGUUCAAGAUCUAAGUAGGAUCAUGGCUGCGGCAACCUCUGGAGGACGAUGUGGGAAUCACAGCCCUAGCACCCUGUGUGAAAUUUGCCCAUGGUCCCAAAGUUCUGCAGCUUCUAGUCAAAGGUUAGUGUCAACGGAGGAAGUCCUAGGAGGUAUCUGGAAACUGUGGUCCGGGCCCUCAUCACUAGCUUCAGGAGGACCUGUAUCUUUCUUACGUAUUUAUUUGUGUGUGAUGCUGGGCCCUGAACCCAGAGCUCCACCCACGCUAGGUCAACUUCCUAUCACUAACCAGGUGCCCAGCCCAAGAACUGGGUUUAUAUAUGUGGAUGCAGAUAUACAUGGCUUGCAUUUCUUUAUUUUUCUUUCCCUCUUUCACACAUCUAUAUAUACAUAUAUUACUAAUGACUGAAAAGAAAUGCCACACUAUGUCCCCUCUCCCUCUUAUUUGGACCCCUUUCUCCCUCUACAUUGUCACUUUUCUGCUUUCACAUCUCAUAUGCACUUCUAUACACCUAUCUAUAUACAUAAUAUAUAUAUGUAUAUAUAUGCACACACAUACACAUGGAGAUAUAUAUAUAUAUUUUGAAUUUAUUUAUGGAAGAUUACUCACUUCUGUGAUUAGCGUGUAUGUGGAGGUCAGAAGACAACUUGUAGGAGUUGGUUCUCUCCUUCCACUUUGCAGGUCCCAAGGGUAGAACUCAGGAGGUCAGGCUUAGCUACAAGCACCUUUACCUGCUGAGCCAUUUCACAGGCCCCAUAUUAAAUUUAGAUUCCAGAAAACAAACAGUAGCAAGUGCUGGUGGUACAGGGAAAGCGGGACUCUUAUCCACUGUUGGCAGAAAUAGAAGCUAGUGCCACUGUUUUGAAAAUCAAUGUAGAGGCUUUUCAAAAACUAAAAAUACAGCAUGACCCAGCUAUACCAAACUCUUUGGCAUAUACACAUUCAUGUAAUAAACAGUAAGUUGCUCUUUCUGCUGUCAUUCCUGGGAUAUCCACCGGCAAGACAGCAAUAUCCAUGUGCUAGUAAAGGGGACAGAGACAAAUCACUUCAGAGACAGUUUCAGAGGACAGCACUUACUGUAUUGCAUGUGAGCAACCUCUUAUAUAGUGGAAACCUGUGAUUGGUUAGCACAUUACCUCGGAUUGAAUACUGAGUGUUCAUACCGCCACUCUAGGCAGAAGAGGCUCAUUAAAGCAGACUUGGAGAGCAUCGCAGAGUCCUCAGCAGGCCAGCUGCUUCAAGAUUCUAUAUGCUGCCUUCAGGAACAUGGUGCGCCAUGCUUAUUUAGAAGCCCAGGGUGCUAGGUAGGCUGGUCACCAGGUCACGCCAGCAUUCUCUCCAACACUUUUCACAGGAACAAGGAAAAAGAGUUGAUCUGCUUGCCCAUCAAUAAAUGGAUAAUGAAAAUGUGGUGCACACACAGUAGAAUUAUAUUCAGCUGGGAAAGAAAGUAAAAUUUGCAAAAUAAAAAAGGAACUAAUAAACACU